AACAGGAUUAGAUACCCUGGUAGUCCACGCCGUAAACGAUGUCGACUUGGAGGUUGUGCCCUUGAGGCGUGGCUUCCGGAGCUAACGCGUUAAGUCGACCGCCUGGGGAGUACGGCCGCAAGGUUAAAACUCAAAUGAAUUGACGGGGGCCCGCACAAGCGGUGGAGCAUGUGGUUUAAUUCGAUGCAACGCGAAGAACCUUACCUGGUCUUGACAUCCACGGAAGUUUUCAGAGAUGAGAAUGUGCCUUCGGGAACCGUGAGACAGGUGCUGCAUGGCUGUCGUCAGCUCGUGUUGUGGAAUGCUGGGUUAAGUCCCGCAACGAGCGCAACCCUUAUCCUUUGUUGCCAGCGGUCCGGCCGGGAACUCAAAGGAGACUGCCAGUGAUAAACUGGAGGAAGGUGGGGAUGACGUCAAGUCAUCAUGGCCCUUACGACCAGGGCUACACACGUGCUACAAUGGCGCAUACAAAGAGAAGCGACCUCGCGAGAGCAAGCGGACCUCAUAAAGUGCGUCGUAGUCCGGAUUGGAGUCUGCAACUCGACUCCAUGAAGUCGGAAUCGCUAGUAAUCGUGGAUCAGAAUGCCACGGUGAAUACGUUCCCGGGCCUUGUACACACCGCCCGUCACACCAUGGGAGUGGGUUGCAAAAGAAGUAGGUAGCUUAACCUUCGGGAGGGCGCUUACCACUUUGUGAUUCAUGACUGGGGUGAAGUCGUAACAAGGUAACC
rnacentral:rRNA from 1 species